rnacentral:rRNA from 1 species
UACGUAGGGUGCGAGCGUUUGUCCGGAAUUAUUGGGCGUAAAGAGCUCGUAGGCGGUCUGUCGCGUCGGUCGUGAAAACUUGGGGCUUAACCCUGAGCUUGCGGUCGAUACGGGCAUGACUGGAGUUCGGCAGGGGAGACUGGAAUUCCUGGUGUAGCGGUGAAAUGCGCAGAUAUCAGGAGGAACACCGGUGGCGAAGGCGGGUCUCUGGGCCGAUACUGACGCUGAGGAGCGAAAGCGUGGGGAGCGAACAGG